GUCUGUGGCCAUGCCACCAUGAACAAGCCGGAUCCCGUGAGAUCUCAGAAGCUAAGCAGGGUCGGGCCUGGUGAGUAGUUGGAUGGGAGGCCACCUAGGAAGACCAGGUGCUGUAGGCU
rnacentral:rRNA from 1 species